UUCUGACCGUAAACGAUGCCAACUAGCGAUUCGUCGGCGGCUUCUUUGCCCUGAUGAGGAGCUUCCCGGAAACGAAAGUCUUCCGGUUCCGGGGGAAGUAUGGUUGCAAAGCUGAAACUUAAAGGAAUUGACGGAAGGGCACCACCAGGAGUGGAGCCUGCGGCUUAAUUUGACUCAACACGGGAAAACUCACCCGGCCCGGACACCGUGAGGAUUGACAGAUUGAUAGCUCUUUCAUGAUUCGGUGGUUGGUGGUGCAUGGCCGUUCUUAGUUCGUGGAUCGAUUUGUCUGGUUUAUUCCGAUAACGAGCGAGACUCAAGCCUACUAACUAGUGCGAGCAUUGCCUCUGUGCCGCGCACUUCUUAGAGGGAUCGGCUGCGUUCCAGCAGCACGAAACUGAGCAAUAACAGGUCUGUGAUGCCCUUAGAUGUCCGGGGCUGCACGCGCGCUACACUGGCAAAGGCAGCGUGCUUGUCCGCCUCCGAAAGGAGCCGGUGAACCCUUGAAAAUUUGCCGUGAUUGGGAUCGGAAAUUGCAAUUAUUUUCCGUGAACGAGGAAUUCCAAGUAAGUGCGAGUCAUCAGCUCGCGUUG
rnacentral:rRNA from 1 species